rnacentral:rRNA from 1 species
UACGAAGGGGGCUAGCGUUGUUCGGAAUCACUGGGCGUAAAGGGUGCGUAGGCGGGUUGUUAAGUCAGGGGUGAAAUCCCGGGGCUCAACCUCGGAACUGCCUUUGAUACUGACUUCCUAGAGUCCGGAAGAGGUAAGUGGAACUGCGAGUGUAGAGGUGAAAUUCGUAGAUAUUCGCAAGAACACCGGUGGCGAAGGCGGCACACUGGUCCGGAACUGACGCUGAGGCACGACAGCGUGGGGAGCAAACAGG